rnacentral:rRNA from 1 species
UACGGGGGGGGUAAGCGUUGUUCGGAAUUACUGGGCGUAAAGCGCUCGCAGGCGGUCCGAUGCGUCGUGCGUGAAAGACCCCGGCUCGACUGGGGAGGGUCGUGCGAUACGGUCGGACUCGAGGCCAGUAGGGGGACGCGGAAUUCCGGGUGUAGUGGUGGAAUGCGUAGAGAUCCGGAGGAACACCAGCGGCGAAGGCGGCGUCCUGGACUGGUACUGACGCUCAGGAGCGAAAGCGUGGGGAGCGAUCCGG